rnacentral:rRNA from 1 species
GCAACCUGAACUCAGAUGUGAAU